rnacentral:rRNA from 1 species
AAUCAACGCUGGCGGCGUGCCUAACACAUGCAAGUCGAACGAGAAAGGGUAGCAAUACCUGAGUACAGUGGCGCACGGGUGAGUAACACGUGACUAACCUACCCUGGAGUGGGGAAUAACUGAGGGAAACCUUAGCUAAUACCGCAUAACACCUACGGGUCAAAGGAGCAAUUCGCUUCAGGAGGGGGUCGCGGCCGAUUAGUUAGUUGGCGGGGUAAUGGCCCACCAAGACAGUGAUCGGUAUCCGGCCUGAGAGGGCGCACGGACACACUGGAACUGAAACACGGUCCAGACUCCUACGGGAGGCAGCAGUGGGGAAUUUUGCGCAAUGGGGGAAACCCUGACGCAGCAACGCCGCGUGGAGGAUGAAAUCCCUUGGGAUGUAAACUCCUUUCGAUCGGGACGAUUAUGACGGUACCGGAAGAAGAAGCCCCGGCUAACUUCGUGCCAGCAGCCGCGGUAAUACGAGGGGGGCAAGCGUUGUUCGGAAUUAUUGGGCGUAAAGGGAGUGUAGGCGGUUUGGUAAGUUGUGUGUGAAAUCUUCGGGCUCAACCCGAAGUCUGCACACAAAACUGCCG